rnacentral:tRNA from 1 species
UCCCUGAUGGCUCACACGAUAAAGAAUCUGCCUGUAGGGCAGGAGACCUGGGUUCGAUCCCUGGUUGGGGAA